AAUGCAAAAAUGCAUUGACUAUUUGGUUAGUCAAUUAGUCAAUAUUUAACAUCCUUAUUAUAUAUUACCCUCCAGCAGAAUCAGCCUCUCACAAGUGUCUGAUCUGUUCUGGAGCUUGGGUCUGUUUAGGUGCUUCUGUCUUGCGCCAAAAGCUCAGGUUGGAACCUGAAAUACAGAUCUUCCCCCUCCUUGGGGAGGGAGGGCCUAUAUAACAAGAUUGUGAAGUGACAAGGUGGAUGAGGUAAUUGCUCUAUUUGGACCAAUACUCUUGGUGAGAGAGACAAACUUUUGAGCCACACAGAGCUGCUCUUCUUAUCUGUCUCACCAACAGAAAUUGCUCAAGAUGUUACCUUACCUAUUUUGUAUUAGGUUAGGGUUGGCUAUAACUACAUUACAUACAAGUUUGUAAAAUAUCCUCACCACCCAGGAUAGCCCAUGCAGAGUAUAGCUGCCUCCAACGAAUCUAUUUUGUUCUUUAGCUGAAGUACUAGAAGUUGCGCUUUCAUGCUAAAAAGUCUCAGGAUCAAAUGCUGUUGACAGCCUGUGUUUGGAUCAUCAUAAAUAAAGUUAGGCCUGUAAGUGGACAUUUGCAGGAUUGGGGCCUGUGUUUGUGUUGGCUGAUCUUUCAUGUGAAUAAUUUCAUAGUAAAUGUAAGUGUCUGUCUCUGGAGCUUUAAAGAAUUGCUAUAUUAAAAAAUAAAAGCAGAAAAUUUGUUAAAAAGCACAUUCUGUUUGGGGGAAAAUAGAAGAAAAUCAUUAAGGAUUGUGUUACACCAAUGUUCUCUCUAAUCUUUUCCAUCCGUGUGGAAUAUUUUUUGUACUGAGGCAUGUGUGACUGUUCACUACCAGUAGAAACAAAACCUAGCUGUGGGCGUUCUGCUAAUCAACUGGGUGACAUUUGAGUUCUGAAAAUUUGCAAAAGUGUACAGCUUUCAGGGAAUACUGCAGUACACUACCAAAUGUUAUAAUAUAAGCCCUGCAAAUCUGUAGAUAACCACUUUUUAUCUACAUCUGCAAAUGUCCAUGCAUAUAGCCGUAGCUCAUUUUUUUGCAAAUAAGAUGUGGAUACAAAUUCUGUGUCUGCACAGGGCUUUAGUUAUCAUACCAACUUUCCCCCUUUGUUUGUUUUCAGAUCCCUUUGGUGACAAUGACAGUAUGGAUGUUGUGGGUAGUCCCCUUCUCCCAGACAGCAUCCUCUAUGAGAUUUUCUUGUACCUGGACCACAUAGAUGUGCUUUCGGUGGGGUUGGUGUGUCAGCAAUGGCAUGCAGUGGCACGGGAUGAAUUCCUGUGGAAGGAACUGUUCUAUAGAUACUACAGGGUUUCUCGGGAAGUGCCACGACACCCAGCUGCCGUUUCCUGGUAUGAGGAGUUCCAAAGGCUCUAUGACACCAUCCCAUGUGUUGAAGUGCAGACCCUGAGAGAGCACAAUGAUCAGGUCUUACAUCUUAGCUUCUCCCAUUCAGGCUACUUGUUUGCAUCCUGCUCCAAGGACUGCACAGUUAAGAUUUGGAACAACGAGCUGGCCAUUUCUCUGCUCCACAGUUCCAACAUGAGGCUGUACAACUGGAGCUACACCCAGUUUUCCCAGUUCAACUCAGAUGACUCCCUCCUUCUGGUGUCAGGGGUCUUUGUGGGGCCUCGCAACUCUUCGUCAGGAGAAAUCGCUGUUAUUAGCCUGGAAAACUCUGCUUUCCUCUCCAGAGUGAGGAAUAAACCCUAUGAUGUGUUUGGCUGCUGGCUGAAUGAAACCAACUUAAUUUCCGGCAACCUGCACCGAAUUGGGCACAUCACUUCCUGCUCAGUGCUGUGGCUAAAUAAUGCUUUCCAGGGCAUAGAGUCUGAGAAUGUGAAUGUAGUCAAGAGACUGUUCAAAAUCCAGAACCUGAAUGCCAGCAGCAUCCGGACAGUGAUGGUGGCAGACUGCAGCCGUUACGAUGCUCCAGACCUGCUCCUGGACUAUAAGGAACAACUGGCUACCACCACCUCUCCCUACCAGCACUUUGAUCUUGGCAGUGAGAGUGAAGAAGAAGAGGAGAAGCCCAAGCAGAGACUGAUGCGAGAACCGGGGGCGCAAGCCUUCCUGGAUGGUGGGAGUGGAACAUCAGAGGAUGGGCUGCAGCAGUUCCUGGAUGACCUCCUUGAAGGCCGCAUGAAGCCUGUCAUGAGUGAGAGAGAACUGGAGACGAAGGUCGCAGAGCUGCUUGCUAGGAGCAGGACUAAGCCACCUGAGUUAACUCAGCUCCCCACAGAGGCCAGCAACAAGAAAUAUUUAAUCUUCACCACAGGAUGCCUCACCUACUCUCCACACCAGAUAGGAAUUAAGCAGAUCUUGCCUCACCAGAUGACAACUGCUGGGCCGGUGCUUGGGGAGGAGAGACGUUCAGAUGAGUUCUUCGAUUCACUGGAUCAUGUCAUUGACAUCCAUGGUCACAUUAUUGGGAUGGGUCUCUCUCCUGACCACAGAUAUCUUUAUGUCAACAGCCGGUCCUGGCCACGGGACUGUGUGAUCUCUGAUCCCAUGCAGCCACCACCCAUCGCAGAGGAGAUUGACCUGCAUGUGUUUGAUCUGAAGACAAUGAAGGAGGUGAAGCGAGCCCUCCGUGCACACCGAGCCUACACCCCCAACGAUGAAUGUUUCUUCAUCUUUCUUGAUGUCAGCAGGGACUUCGUAGCCAGGAACUCUGGGCGGUGGCAUCUGAGGAGAAGAUAGUUGAGGCUUCUGAUGAUUUAGGAUUGUGGAAAGAAGAGCAGGUUGAUGGGACAAUUAACUCUGAACCCUGAAAAUGACAUUGUGGGGCAGAGGAUCGUCAUGGCUACAUUUGGGACCGGCACUACAACAUCUGUCUGGCCAAGCUACAACAUGAUGAUGUGGUCAACUCUGUGGCAUUCAGCCCAGUUGAGCAGGAACUGCUCCUGACAGCCAGCGAUGAUGCUAGCAUCAAAGUGUGGCGCUCCCCCCGCACUGUGCGCAUCUGCCAGGCCAGGAAACCUAAGCCCAGGAGGCUGCUCUUCUCUUGGCUCAUGAAUCAGAAGAGCUGAGCCACAGCACCUGAUAAUGCUGAUGCCUCACUGUAGCCACAACCUUUAUUGAGCUUUGGACAGUGGGAGUGUUGAUGGAGAACCGUGGGUGCAAGGCUCUGGCAGGGUUCUACCCAAAGAGAGUAUCUUGAACUCCCAUCAAUGGCUCACAUCUGCCAAAACGGUUACAGUCAAACUCGCCCCAGCAUCACUGCACCUGUGAUGAACUGGGUUCCAUUUGUGUUGUAGCUGUUGCGGAUCACAGCAGGCAAAUUUCACCUGCCUACCCAUCAUGCAGCCAAGCUUUGGUCACUGAGCAGCAGAGACUGGGGCAGCUGGUUUUUCUUCAUGAGCUUGGAGAUCUAGCCUCACUCAGAGCUGCUGACUUUCGAGUGCUUGGCCAAAGGGAAACGUUGCAGCACUGCUCUGCCUUGUGGUGACAGGACUGUUUUCAGUAGUAGUUUUGUUGUCUGUUUGUCCCAAACCUCUGCAGGAGGCAUGGUCAGUGUAACUGCUAUCCUCCAACUGUAUCCUCCAGUCAUGGCUGAGCAGAUUGGGGAGUGAGGGGACUUUCAGAGAGGCUUACACACUUUCUAAUGUGCAAAACAUGUAGCUGGUGCUGGCUUGGCAGCACUCAGUGCUGAGGGCAGCUAGUACCUUUCCACCUUGGGCCUACCAGAGCCCUUUGCACUGCAGCCAACUCAAAGCAAGCCUCUGUCACUGCUCUCCAUUAGCUGUGCCUGAGCCACUGGCUUCCACGCAAGGGUCCGUGGAGAGCUGGGGAAUCACAGAAUACAAGUCCCACCUCCUUGAUAAGUUGCUCAAUAAUAUUAAGAUGCUAAAGCUG